rnacentral:rRNA from 1 species
AGUGAACGCUGGCGGUAGGCCUAACACAUGCAAGUCGAACGGCAGCACAGUAAGAGCUUGCUCUUACGGGUGGCGAGUGGCGGACGGGUGAGGAAUACAUCGGAAUCUACUUUUUCGUGGGGGAUAACGUAGGGAAACUUACGCUAAUACCGCAUACGACCUACGGGUGAAAGCAGGGGAUCUUCGGACCUUGCGCGAUUGAAUGAGCCGAUGUCGGAUUAGCUAGUUGGCGGGGUAAAGGCCCACCAAGGUGACGAUCCGUAGCUGGUCUGAGAGGAUGAUCAGCCACACUGGAACUGAGACACGGUCCAGACUCCUACGGGAGGCAGCAGUGGGGAAUAUUGGACAAUGGGCGCAAGCCUGAUCCAUCCAUACCGCGUGGGUGAAGAAGGCCUUCGGGUUGUAAAGCCCUUUUGUUGGGAAAGAAAAGCAGCAGGUUAAUACCCCGCUGUUCUGACGGUACCCAAAGAAUAAGCACCGGCUAACUUCGUG